UCCUCCUCCUCCUCCUCCUCCCAGUCGGCUCCCUCUUCUCUGGCUCCUCCCACCAUUCCUCUGCAUCCAACUGUGUCCAGCCAGUCUGCAUCCAAGCAGUCCUUCCCCACAAGGCCCCUUCCCCCUACCUGAUCUGGGUCCACAGCUGCUGCCUCCCCUCCACCACCAUGAAAAGAUGAAGGAGCAGGUCUUGGUGGCAUCAUUCCUCCACCUGGGAGAGACAAAGGUAAGUGGAAACCGUGAGCGCCUGCUUCUCUCAGAGGUGAAACAGUGCAUCUCUAAGUACAGAUGGGGCUUGUCCAAGUCUCCCCUGCUAGCUUCCGGUUCCGCUCUGCUUUAAUGGAGGCAGCGGGAGAUCGUUGGCAAAGGAAAAACAAGGAUGACUGAGGGUAAUUCUCCUUGCAAGUUCCCCCAGGGACAGGGGGGAAUGGGCUUCACUCCCAGUUUGUCUCGGUACCAGGUUCCGGCUCCGGCAUGGAUUGCGAGAGGCAGGGAGGCGCUGAGUGCAAAAGCCCUUCACCUGCCGAAAACCCUCCUUCGCUGCCAUUAAGAAGCAGAAGUUCUCCUGUCAAUUAGAGCUCAAUUUGGACUAAUGUACAGGCGUUGCUGGAAGAGAUGAGAUCAUAAACUGCGGAAUUAAACCAGCUGCAAGGUCUUUAAGGUUUGAAUUUGAGAAUAAACUUCAUUUGCUGCAAAAGACAGUGAGUGGGGGGAGGGGAGCCUAUGGCUUCUUUAUAUAAAGUUUUCUUCUCUACAUUAAUGAAUUGGUAGCCUGCGAUUGAAUACUAGUUGAAAAUAUGCAACUGGGUAAAUCUCCAGGCCCAGACGGCUUGACCUCUAGAUACUACAGAUCCUUAAAAGAUUGGUUAAUUCAACCACUGAAAGAGGUCUGCAACGAAAUAAUGGAGGGGAGGAGGGCACCAGAGUCGUGGAAAGAAGCAUAUAUUACACUUGUACCAAAAACAGAGGCUGAAAAGACACAACUAAAGAACUACCGCCCAAUAUCAUUACUUAAUGUGGAUUACAAAAUUUUUGCAGAUAUUUUGGCGAAGAGAUUUAAAAAGUGCUGUUGGAAGAGAUUCAUCAAGACCAAGCGGGCUUUCUCCCAAGAAGACACUUGUCUGAUAACCUAAGGAAUAUAAUUGAUAUUUUGGAAAAAUUAGAAGUGAAUAUAAACACUAAAGCAGUGUUGAUAUUUGUAGACGCGGAGAAAGCCUUUGACAAUAUUUCUUGGAAUUUUAUGAAGAAGAAUCUUCAGGGUAUGGGGGUAGGCCAAGGUUUUGAGAAUGGUAUAAGUGCAAUUUAUUCAGAACAAAAGGCUAAACUAAUUGUAAAUAACGUUGUGACGGAAGAACUUAAAAUUGAAAAAGGGACACGACAAGGGUGCCCAAUUUCCCCUCUUCUUUUAUUUCGGUCCUGGAGGUGUUGCUGAACAUGAUUAGAAGGGACCAGUUGGUUAAAGGUAUACAGGUCGGAACUAAACACUAUAAAUUGAGAGCAUUUGCAGAUGACUUAGUAUUGACGUUACAGGAGCCAGAAUCUAGUACAAAAAAGGGUUUUAGAACUGAUUCAAGAAUUUGGUCAAGUGGCAGGAUUUAAAUUGAACAAAUUAAAAACCAAGGUUUUAGAGAAAAAUUUAACACCGUUUGAAAGAGAGGUUUCAGAAUGAGACAGGGUUAACAGUGGUUAAGAAAGUUAAAUACCUGGGGAUUAGCAUGACAGCAAAAAAUGGGAAUUUAUUUAAAGAUAAUUAUGAAAAAUGUUGGUCAGAAGUGAAAAAGAUUUAGAAAUUUGGUCAAACUUGAAGCUUUCACUGCUAGGCCGUAUUGCUGCGAUAAAAAUGAAUGUAUUGCCUAGAAUGUUGUUUUUGUUUCAAACUUUGCAGAUUGUGGACAAAAUGGACUGUUUCAAGAGGUGGCAGAAAGAUAUUUCUAGAUUUGUCUGGCAGGGCAAGAAACCUAGAAUAAAAUUUAAAAUACUAACAGAUGCAAAGGAAAGAGGUGGAUUUGCCCUGCCAGACCUCAAACUUUAUUAUGAAUCAGCAGCUUUUUGCUGGUUGAAAGAAUGGCUACUUCUUGAAAACACUGACAUUUUGGAUUUGGAAGGUUUUAAUAAUGUAUUUGGAUGGCAUGCAUAUUUAUGGUAUGAUAAGGUCAAAGCACACAAAGCAUUUAAAAACCACAUUGUCAGGAAAGCGCUAUUUAAUGUUUGGAUAAGAUAUAAGGAUUUGCUAGAAAAUAAAACCCCAAGGCGGCUGUCACCAAUGGAAGCGAAAGCCUUGAAAAGGGUCAAUAUGGAGGUCAAAUGGCCGAAAUAUUGGGAAAUUUUGGAACAAGACGGAGAUAGACUGAAAUUGCAGAGUUUUGAAAAACUAAAAAACAAAGUGCGAGACUGGCUCCAUUAUUAUCAAAUAAUGGAGGUAUUUAAACUAGACAGGAAAAUUGGCUUCCAGGUGGAAAAAUCAAAAUUAGAAACAGAAUUGUUAGAACCCAAUACUAAGAAUCUGUCAAGAAUGUAUAACUUGCUGCUGAAAUGGAAUACUCAAGAUGAAACGGUAAAAUCGGCUAUGAUUAAAUGGGCACAGGACGUAGGACACAACAUUAUGUUUGCUGACUGGGAACAGUUAUGGACCACAGGCAUGAAGUUCACGGCAUGUAAUGCCUUAAGAGAGAAUAUUAUGAAAAUGAUAUACAGGUGGUACAUAACCCCAGUCAAGCUUGCGAAAAUCUAUCACUUGCCCGAUAACAAAUGUUGGAAAUGUAAAGAAAUUGAAGGUACAUUUUUUCACCUUUGGUGGACGUGCCCAAAGAUUAAGGCUUUCUGGGAAAUGAUAUAUAAUGAAUUAAAAAAGGUAUUCAAAUAUACCUUCCCCAAGAAACCAGAGGCCUUUCUCCUGGGCAUAGUCGGCCAAAUGGUGUUAAAAAGGAUAGAACUUUCUUUAUGUAUGCAACAACAGCAGCAAGAAUACUCAUCGCAAAGUAUUGGAAGACACAAGAACUUCCCACGCUGGAGGAAUGGCAGAUGAAACUUAUGGACUAUAUGGAAUUGGCGGAAAUGACUGGCAGAAUCCGUGACCAGGGAGAAGAGUCGAUGGAGGAAGACUGGAAGAAAUUCAAAGACUAUCUUCAGAAACACUGCAAAAUUAAGGAAUGUUAGAGUGAUGUUGGACUGAAAAUAAAUGGUUUCCAGCUGUACAGGUUAAAGGUAAAGAUAGAUUAAGAUUUAAGAUCAAGAUUAAAGAUGUUUAAAGAAAUGGAAAUUGGAUAAUAAAAGGGAAAAAUUUAAAGGUAUAUGACAUUAAGAAUAAGGAUUAUGUUUAAAAAAGUUGAAGUUAUAUAUUUUAAUAUUUUAUUAAAUUAAAGAUUGGGUUCAAAAAAGUGGAAAAGAAACUGCUGGACAAAUAACGUAGAUUGGAAUACAAAAGAGGGAGGUAUGAGGAAGUCCAGAAAAUAAGUAAUUUAAAUUUGGGAAUGGAAAAGAGAGUUUGUUUUUAAUUGUUAUGUUUUGCGUUUUUAUUGUUAAACUUUGUAUUGUUUUUUUGUGUGUGUUGUUUUUUCUUUUUUCUUUGUUUAAAACUUUAAUAAAAAUUAUUUAAAAAAAAAAAAGAAAAUAUCUAUGUACAGGUGAGCAGGGAUGAAACUGGACUGCAGAUAUGGAUUAAAACUUCAAAUGGAACUGUGUGUGUAAAAACAAAAAGGAAAAAGGGAGGGAAGAUCUAUUUUACAAAAUGUUUACGAUGGAAAAUUAGAGCUGACUCUUCCCCAUCCUGUAUUAUAUACAGACUGAACUGAUUAAUGCUAAAAGGACUUGGAAUUUAAUUUAAUUGGAUAAAUGCGCAUUUAUCUUCGGCCAGACAGAGGGAUGUAAGGAAUCUGAAAGUUGUGAGGGAGCUGAUAAGGUUCAUUACUGAGUCAAUUGCAGUUUGACCGAUCCCUCUCCUUCCCAGGCAGAGAAGAAAAAUGGCAAAAACUGAUUAUUUAUUGGGACAGUGUGAUUUUUGCAGCCGCUGUUAAAGUUGCCAAACAACGAAGUACAGGACAGAGCGAUGGAGAAUUUCUGAAACCACAAUGGGAUAUUAGCUCCGCCCAAGGAAUGAUGGAGAACAGCAACAACCAGGAAAAGAUAGACAGAACAUUUUACAAGGACAGGAAGAAAUAUCACGAGCAGAAAGAUUGCCACACAUGGGAAGAGUAAGGAUA